rnacentral:lncRNA from 1 species
GUUAAUUGAAUAUCCGAGCAUUUUUUUUACUAAGGAAGUAAUCACAGUCACAAAAAAUUACCCUAAACAUUCUCUCGAGCGAAUGUCACUUUCUUCAUGCUCUGUUUCGAUUUUCCCCUAUUUUACCAGGUGAGCUACUAUACAUAGCAAAGGUGUUCAAUUAAGUUUUUUUUUCCUAAUCAGUAGUAUCAGAGUAGCUACCAUGUUCAUCGUUCCAGUGACGGAGGCAGGGCAGGGAAGUACUGGGAGGUCAUAUUCCUGUACCCUUAACUUACCUCAACCAAGUGAACGCACGAGAAAAAGGGCAGUCUCAUUGCCAAAGGGCAAGUGCUCCUCUGUCAGGCUGGCGAAUCAUCGAAGGCUCAAGGCUGCAAGACAAGAUGUUUACACAGGUUACAGGUUGUUACAUCCCGCAACGUCUGGGACACAUAUUUAACGUCGUUGACUUUUUUAUAUAAGUUUAACUAUUCAUUUUAUUCAAAAAGUUUACAUAAUUAUUAAUAAUUUUUAUAUCAUUUUAUUUGUUGUUAAAUAUAUCAUGACGUUGCUAGCUUUGCCACCGGCAAACCCUUCGUGAGACCAUUUGCUCUCUGUUCAUCAGUGGGAAUGAAGUUAAUAAUGUCGAUUUGCCGAGCUUUCACGCAAACAAAAUGAUAGCGUGUGUCAAACUGUCAAUUUGCUUGCUUCUCCCAUGGAACGCUAGGUUCUUCAUUAAUGCAAUAGAUGAUUUAGUGUCGAUAAACAAUUGUACUACCUUUUCUCCAGUACCAAUUACCUCGCUGACAAGCGCCUUCAGCCAAAGUGCGUGACAUGCUGCUGUAGUAGCCGCCAUGAACUGAUCAGCUUCGCACCAUGAUGAUAAUAAUACCACCAUUUUCUGUGAGCCCUAUGUGACUAAACUAUUGUUGAGGCAGAGCACCAUCCCG